GAUGAACGCUGGCGGCGUGCUUAACACAUGCAAGUCGAACGAACCUUCGGGUUAGUGGCGGACGGGUGAGUAACGCGUGAGAAUCUGCCCUCAGGAGGGGGACAACAGUUGGAAACGACUGCUAAUACCCCAUAUGCCGCGAGGUGAAAUGAAUUUCGCCUGAGGAUGAGCUCGCGUCUGAUUAGCUAGUUGGUGGGGUAAAGGCCUACCAAGGCAUCGAUCAGUAGCUGGUCUGAGAGGAAGAUCCCCCACACUGGUACUGAGACACGGACCAGACUCCUACGGGAGGCAGCAGUGAGGAAUAUUGGUCAAUGGACGAAAGUCUGAACCAGCCAUGCCGCGUGAAGGAUGACGGCCCUACGGGUUGUAAACUUCUUUUGUAUAGGAAGAAACCCCUCUACGUGUAGAGGGCUGACGGUACUAUAAGGGUAAGCACCGGCUAACUCCGUG
rnacentral:rRNA from 1 species